CCUACGGGAGGCAGCAGUGGGGAAUAUUGGACAAUGGGGGAAACCCUGAUCCAGCAAUGCCGCGUGAAUGAUGAAGGCCUUAGGGUUGUAAAGUUCUUUCACCUGUGAAGAUAAUGACGGUAGCAGGAGAAGAAGCCCCGGCAAACUCCGUGCCAGCAGCCGCGGUAAGACGGAGGGGGCUAGCGUUGUUCGGAAUGACUGGGCGUAAAGGGCGCGUAGGCGGUGUCUUAAGUGAGGCGUGAAAGCCCCGGGCUUAACCCGGGAGGUGCGUUUCAUACUGAGAUGCUAGAGUGCGAGAGAGGAAAGUGGAAUUCCUAGUGUAGAGGUGAAAUUCGUAGAUAUUAGGAAGAACACCAGAGGCGAAGGCGGCUUUCUGGCUCGUAACUGACGCUGAGGCGCGAAAGCGUGGGGAGCAAACAGGAUUAGAUACCCCAGUAGUC
rnacentral:rRNA from 1 species